UUUCGAGGGUGGACGCAGCAUUUAACUAAUUAGGAGCACAAUAAAUGCUGUACUGUAAGCAUUUAGAGUUUGAACAACUAUGACAGUGGACGAAGCCUAAAAACGCCGAGAGGGUCUUUUCUCCUUUGGUCGUCUGUGUGUAAACUCAGCUCUCUGCACAGGCGAUAUCAUUCUUGAUUCAUAGCCCAACAAGACAAUCUAUGAUGGUGGUCAUCUUAAGUACACGUUCCAAUAUCUCCACAGAGCCUUAGAAUGAUGCGAAGAAAUAUUUCCAAAACAAGGUAGCAUUCGUUAAAACCUGUUUGCAUUUGGACAGCACACUUAUGUGGACAAAACGGUUCUUUCAGAUUUUGUACCAGUUUACAGUGGAACAUUUAGAGGGAAAAAAACUAAUCAGAGCUGAACAAUGGCACAAGAGGCAAAUGCUUUACAUAGAGCACCACCAGAUGGAGGCUGGGGAUGGAUGAUUGUUAUUGGCUGUUUUCUUGUUACAGUUUGCACACGGGCAG